AAAUCAUUUCUGUGAAUAGCUCAAAUCUCUGAAUAGGCUUAUUUUGGAUAAGAAAAGAAUAUGGGGAGGUAAAAAUCAAGCUUUGACAUUGUGCCUCUAGAGCCUGGGAUGUAAAACAAAGUCUGAAGAAGCUAUGAUGAAGAGAGAACCCAGUGCCUGGAGAGAGUCAGCUCUGCAUCUUUUAUUUCCCCAACAGCUCCCCAACAGUAGUGGGGGAGGCACAGCCUUUUCUUCACCAUGCAACAUGGCCAUGGAGAACAACACCGCCAUGAGGGGAAGGCCUGAACCAUCUCCCACAUGAAGGACCAUUUAAGCUAUAACAUCAGGGACCACUACUCACAAAGUAAGGAGAAAGGAAGGAGUUGAAAAUCCACUGAGGGAAAGACAAAUGGCACACAUGGAAUUCCCAUGCUGGCCCAGUCACCUGUGAAUUCAAGAAUUUGCUGGAACUAAAGCUUUGUAUCAAUCCUUAAGGAGGAUGCUGGUGACAAAAGUACCAACUUUGGAGUCAAGAUCUCUGAUCAGAUGUGUGACUUUGGAAAAGGCCAUGCACAUCUUUCUUUUCAUGGCCUAUAUCUUUAUCUGUAACAAAAAAAAAAAA